CACAGCUGCUACGUGGCCUGAACAGAGUGGGCGCCCCCGGUGGAGAGUGGAAGGCCAGAGAAGCGGUGUCUGUGCGCCCAGGCGGAGGCCACGGACGCCGAAAACUGCGCUUGAGCCGCUUCGAAAGGUUCUGACUUGGUGAAACUCGUGGAAGCAGAGUGCUGAGGUUCUUUCCCAGCACUCAAAUGGAAGAAGACGAGGACCUCACUUUCCUCCCAGCACUCCUCAUAAUGACGAUAAGGAGGAAGAGAUCCUUAGAGAUGGAAUUUCAGAUGCCAGGAAUUUACACAUGCUUAUAAAGCAGCAUAUCAUUCUACGUAAUCACAAGAUGAUCACUAUCUUAAAAAGUCAUUUCCAAUAAAUCAGAUUGAUGUGGUACA
rnacentral:lncRNA from 1 species